rnacentral:rRNA from 1 species
GGGAUAAAAUUAAUAAGAGUUAAAUUUAAUAAAAUAAAUUUUAAAUAAAUAUUUUGGGGGGUUAAAGUAUUUAGAAAGAAAAAAUUUAUAGAUUUAUAGAGGAAUAGUAUUGUAAAAUAAAUUUGAAAUAGUUGAAAAUUUAUUAUUAAAAAAGUAAUUUUAAUUUAGUGUAUCUUGUGUAUCAGAGUUUAUUUAGAAAUGUUUUUAGGGGGAAAAUUCUCGAAUUAAAAAGAGUUAAAUAAUUAAUUAAAUUAUUGUGUCAAAAAUAUUUUUAAUAAUUAUUUUGAAAUGAAAAGUUAUUCGUUUUUUAAGAUAUCUAGUUUUUUUAGAAAAAAAUUUAAUUUUAAAUUAAUUUAUUUAAUAAUUUAAUAAUUAAUUAUUAGAAAUUUUAAUUUUAUAUUUUAUGGGAUAAGCUUUAAAAUAAAUAUCUAAAAUAUUUUAUAAAUAAAUAAAAAUUUUAUAAUUUAUAUUGUUAAUAAAAUUUAAUUUAUUAUAAAUAAUUUUAAUAUAAGUAAAAUUUAUUUAAGUAUUUAGAUUUUUAUAAAAAAAUAAUUUUUAAUGGAAAAAAAUUAAUUAUAAUGAUAAAAUUAGUAUAUUAAAUAUGAAAUAAGUUUUUUUAAUUAAAAAUAAUUUUAAGGAAUUCGGCAAAAAUUUAUAUUCGCCUGUUUAUCAAAAACAUGUCUUUUUGAUUAUAAUUUAAAGUCUAAUCUGCCCACUGAUAAUAAUUAAAGGGCUGCAGUAUUUUGACUGUACAAAGGUAGCAUAAUAAAUAGUCUUUUAAAUGGAGACUAGUAUGAAUGAUUGGACGAGAUAUAGACCGUCUCAAUAUUAAAAAUUGAAUUUAAUUUUUUUAUUAAAAAGUUAAAAUAUAAUUAAAAGACGAGAAGACCCUAUAGAGUUUUAUAAAAAUAUUAAUUAUGAUUAAUUUUAUAAGUUUAAAAUAAAAAUUAAUUUUAUUAUUUUGUUGGGGUGAUAGUAAAAUUUAAAAAACUUUUAUUUAUAAUUACAUAAAUAAAUGAAUUUAUUGAUCCAAAAUUUUUGAUUAUAAGAAAAAAUUACCUUAGGGAUAACAGCGUAAUUUUUUUUUUUAGUUCAAAUAAGAAAAAAAGUUUGCGACCUCGAUGUUGGAUUAAGAUAAAAUUUAAAUGCAAAAGUUUAAAAUUUUGAUCUGUUCGAUCAUUAAAAUCUUACAUGAUCUGAGUUCAAACCGGUGUGAGCCAGGUUGGUUUCUAUCUUUAAUAAAAUAAAAUAUUUUAGUACGAAAGGAUCAAAUAUUUAGAAUAAUUCUAUUAAUUUGAAUAUUAGUAAAUAGUAAUUAA